UCCCCCGCGCAGCGGGCUGGGACAGUGUCUGAGCGCCCUUCGCCGCCCUCGUCUCAUCGCUCGGAACAUCCACGGCAGUGCGGGAGCGCUGCCUGCCGCGCCAGUCACCGCGGCUCCCGCAGGGCUCCGGGGGACUAAAACCACGGGUUUCUUUGUUAAGGAGGGGGUUUCAUAAAGGGCGUGGAGCCCGGCCAGCGCCUCGGCUCCGUGCGGAGCAGGGACCCCGCCGCACGGCGCGGCUGCAGCGGCCCUGCUGGGGCGGAGCGGGCUGAGUCACCCGCCGCCGGCCCCGGGGGGAGCGGGCAGCCCUCCCGAGCCGGGCUGGGGCUGGGCCACGUGUCGGGGGGGAUUUAAAAAAUUGGGGCAGGGAGCGAGGACAUGCCCAGAAGAGCGGCUGGCGGAGCGGCGGCGGCGGGAGCUCGGCGGACAUGGGACACCUGUGGCACCCUCAGCCCCCCGCGGCCGCCCCCGAGCGCAGCCCGCGGCACGGAGCGGACGGCGCGGCGCUGCCCGGGUCCCCGCUGCUCCUCCUCUGCCUUCUCCUCGCUUCCUCCAUUCCUGCUUGCAGAGGUGCACCAAUGCCAUCCCAAGCACUCCAAUCAGACGAGGAUUUGCAGCUAUUGAAAGAGAUAGAUGAUGCAUGUUCUGCUUACCUGUCCACAGAUUCUCAGCCUCAGGUAUCCAGUACCCUGGAAGAACUUUGUUUUUUGAUCAUGGGAUUUUUCCAGAAACCACAGUUCUUAUUUCAUUAUUCUAAGACUCAUGACUCGGGCAACUCAGAUGUCAUGUCAUCUGUCCUGCAUCCUUUACUGCAACUCGUUCCUCACCUUAAUGAGAGAAGACUGAAGAGAUACAAACUGGACGUAUGUAAACUGAAAAUCUGCAUGCUUAUGUUCUUAUGCUUUGUGAUUCUUGUAGACCUUUCUGCUUAUAUAUUUUGGUUGGACUACCCAAAUCUCGAUGUCACACAAUGUGCUUCAGGAAGGAUCAUCUUGCUGCUGAUCUUUUUUCUUCCUCAUAUUGGGAAGCAAAACAGAACCUGCUGUACAUAAACACACCCGCCUCUCUCCCUGACUAGAUAAGGAAUUGAAAAGGUGGAUGGGUGAAGGAGAAAACAUGCUCUAUUAAAUUCAUUUUUUCUCUCCAAUUUGAGACAGCACCAGAUUUUUUCACAGCUUUGAUUCCUCUUGAGCUACAGCCUGCCUGAUAGGAUAUGAUCUAAGAAAGAAAACUUAAGCAUUAUUUGGGCUAGUCAAUAUAAGAGACUAGGCAAAAUGUCUUCUAAAGGGCAGGCAUUAAAAUAAAACUCUAAGUAAUCAUACAUCUUCAUGAAUACAUUUAUUUCUGUAUACAUAUAUACAUUCAGGUUUGUGAACAAACUUGCGUAUUUAUUAUGGCAGUUUUUUUUAACAUCUGCAAACCCUUAGUAAUUUAGAAGGCAGGUGUUACAAAAAUUACAGAUUGUUAGCUUCAGCUGUUUACAUAAUACCAAACUUCUGAUAUGAACUCCAACAAGAACACGUAAUCCUUAAGGAGGGUAUAGUUGUAAGAGGAAAAUGACAUUAAAAUAAAUCACAAUUUCUUACUAGUAGUUUUACUCUUGAUUACUUUUCUGUUCUGGAUGAAUUUCUUAAUCUUGCAACAGCUGCCUAUUUUGUUCCUGUUUUCAGUUUUUUUCACAUAUUGAAUUGAAAAAUUAGAAAAUAUUACAUAUAAAUAUCAUAAGACUCAAAUGGCAAUGUACAGAAAAAUUUUUACCCUUUUGAAAUAUAAAAAAUUAUAGUAGUGAUCAGAUUAUAAAUCCAAGAUGGAUGUUUCAAAUGCAGAUAAUGCUAGAAUGAGAAGGACAAUAGAAAUAAAAAUCAUACAGAUGUUCUGUGUACAGUAAGAAACUGAAUACAAUGCUAUAUGUGACGAAUUGAAGUCAGAAUUAAAAUCAGUUCUCUAAAAUAAUGUAUAGUUUAAACUCAACUUCCUUUGAAAGCUUCCCUGGAUUGAACCUGCUUCUGUAGUUUGGAAAUGAUGGGGGUCAUCCUGUUUUACACAAUUGUCACAGCAUUAGAAGAGAGCAGAUGUGAUUCCUUCCUAUGACACUUCACCUUAUGAUGUUUACCCAAGAGAUCAUAGCACCCCAGUUUUUAGUUGUGAAAUACCCCCAUUGCUAAAUAAAAGCCCUCUUCAUUUUAAUGUUCUGGUAAGAAUAAUACUGAGACUAUUUUAUUUCUCAAAUCUCUUGUCUCCCCACCUGCCGGACAGACACAUCACUCCUCUCUGAUACCAACAGAAGCAGAUAAAACACUGUGAUUAAGCUUAUGUGUUCUCUAAUCAUGAAGGUCUCAUUAAAGCAACUGGAUACCUCAUGCUUUGUACUUGUUACAUUUAAAUAGAAUUUCUAUUUUCUUCAUCAUUUGUUAGCCUCCUUCCUAUAUGGAUCACUAGGCAGCUGUUUCACCCUGUGUGCAGCAUGGACAAGAUAGACUAUCACAAGUACUGCUCUUUGGGAGUUAAUGUGAGAGGCAUGGUUAUGGUACAUCUUUGGGAACAGUCUGGCAUCUCAUUCCUGGGAGAAGCCCAAGUAUUUCUGAUAUUUAAACUUUGUAAUUUUUGUCCUCCUGCAAGAUGCAAAAAGCAACUCUAUCUGUAGAGAUGGCUAUCAUGAAGACAUUCUUGUUGUGCCUGGGUAGUGAACCCUGGAAAAUCAGAGGCAAAGGCUGUUCAUCAUUCCUAGUACCAUUCAAAAGCAAUCUCACCUGACCUAAAUCUUCAAGUGGAAUUUGGCUCCAUUCAUAUGUUCUCUUCUAUUUCUAUAUGACAACAUAAACUUUGUGUUACUGACAUGGAGAAAUGCACACAAAGCAUUUAAGGAGUAAGACUGCAUGUAGUACUGACGAAAUAUUUUUUAUAUAUACAUAAAUAACCUCUCUGUAUGUACUAAUUUACAGCUGUAGAUAUAAUUUAAAAUAUUUUUUUCUUCAGGAAGAACUCCAAGGACCUGGAGGGAUUCAAAGCAGAGGCUACUUCUUCUACAGGCCACGUAAUGGAAGGAGAUCAGUGGAUUUUCGCUAAGGAGGAUUACAGAUUCCUGACUUAGAACUAAAACUGCAGGAAUGCUGAGUACAUGGACAUACUGUUUUCCUUACAAUAAUUAUUUGUCAUUAAUGUACAAUUAGAAAUCACUCAAAUGUAAAUAUUCUUAAACCAGAUUCUGUUAAGAAGGUCUUUACUAUCUUGAUUAUAUUAAAAGCAUAUUAAAAUUAUUUGUUUCCUAGUGUUAUGAUGUUUACAAUGACAUGUAAUUCAACUGUAAAAGAGUCAUUGCUUGCUAGCAACAGACAUUGCCUCUGUUAAGUAAAUUUUCCUUUCUAAAUAAAGGCCCUCAGCCAGACAGUUGUUUUAAUGAGAAUGUUUGCAAUCAAGACUACUGUGCUUUUUCCAGAAUAUGUUGUGAUUUGUGUGUUUCACCAUCUGGGAAAAAAAAAAAACCAAAAAAAAGAGAAUCUCUUGUGCCUUAAUAAAAGGAACCUGAACAAGUUGCAUCUUUUGAAGAAAUACUGUGACUUUAAUUCAACUAAAAUAUAAUGGCAUUCUUUUUUAGCUAUUAAGAAUGCAGAUGCACAAUGGUUCUCAUUUAGAAGAAGACUUAAUUGGAACUGGGGUCACAAUUCACUUGAAAACUCAAAUGCUUCUGAUGGAGAUUGAAAGAAACUCUACUCAGAAGCAUAAAUUAGCCGUACAAUCUUCCCAGCUUACCUCACCGAGUUUAUUUUCACAACAAAAUUUUGUUAAAUUAUGUUGUUGAGGUUGUAAUUAUAUUGAAAGUAACUAACCAUUCAGAACUAGAUGAUCUUUAAGUCCUUUCCAACCCAAACCAUUCUGUGCUUCUAUGACUCAGUUUAGAAGUGGGUUAAAGUUUUUAACACUGGUCAUGGUUUGAAUUGGCUUCAGCAUUACUACUCCUGCUUCUGCACUUUUGGAUGAGCAAUAAAACUUCAGAAGGUAGCUGGAAAAAUUAUGGCCUCAGAGGAAACCAGAUUGAGAAGAACUUUUCCUCUUCUUGCCCACUUGUUUUUGCUCUGCAUUUUAAUAAGCAACACUUCUUAUAAUGACAUUUGUUCAAUAUUUAGAAUUUAAUUUUAACUAUUUGCACUUGGUUGCUUUAAAAAGGAUUCUGAAUUAAACAUACAAUGCAUACAGGUGUAGUGAGAGAUAUCUAUCCAGAUUAGCAGUGCACAUGUCACUAUUGUCUAUGUACAUGCUCCUAAAAAAUAAACUCAGAAUCUUUUGAA